GACGAACGCUGGCGGCGUGCUUAACACAUGCAAGUCGAACGGUGAAGCUCCAGCUGGUUGUAGAGGAACAGUGGCGAACGGGUGAGUAACACGGGAACAACCUGCCCAGGGCUCGGGAAUAAGCGCUGGAAACGGCGACUAAUACUGGAUACGAGAAGGGUCCGCAUGGGCACUUUCUGGAAAGUCUUUCGGUUGUGGAUGGGCGCGGGGCCUAUCAGCUUGUUGGUGAGCGAAUGGCUAACCAAGGCGACGACGGGUAGCCGGCCUGAGAGGGCGACCGGCCACACUGGUACUGAGACACGGCCCAGACUCCUACAGGGGGCAGCAGUGGGAAAUAUUGCACAAUGGUCGAACGCCUGAUACAGCGACGCCGCGUGAGAGAAGAACGCCUUCGUGUUGUAAACCUCUUUCAGCAAGGAAGAAGCGAAAGUGACGGUACCUGCAGAAGAAGCACCGGCUAACUACGUG
rnacentral:rRNA from 1 species